CUCGGGGGACUGAGCGGGGAGAGAGGCAGGUGGUCGUUUGGCUGGCGCCCCUGGAAACCCCAGGCUCCUGCCGCAGGUCGUCUGCGGGCCUUUUCCCUGGUGAGCAUCUUUCCAGACUUACGAUGACGAGUAAAAGAAUAACAGUAAUAAUAACCGCAGUUGAAUUUAUUACUGGGCACUUUCUCAGUGCCAGGCUCUUAACAUUCUCGCCCCAACUCACUGUCACAAGCACCAGUGGAUAUGUCCAUGACCGUCUCCAGUUUGCAGAUGAAGAAGGUGAAGGUGUCCUUCUAGAAAUACGGAACUAGCCUCUGACGCUCGGUCCUCUCAGUGCAGCCAUCCAAGGAGCCGACCAGGGUGCUCCUCCUUUAUUUCAUGGAGAGAGGUUUGUUAAGCACCUACUGGACGCUGGGGAGAGUGCUGUGGCUUGGAUGCAGCUGUCAACUUUGUGAUGUGUCCCAGGGGGAAGGAGGAGGACAAGAGGACACCAGGACAGAAAUACACAGGUGGAAGAUCUGAGCCCAGCGGAGACGGGAGCCCGUCUGCAUGCCAGGGAGCUGGGAGCCUUCAUUCCCCAGGAGGUGAGCUGAUGACCCUCCAGGAAGGAAAAUGGCGCCCCCUGGCUAAUCGGGGACCUGGGCCAGGCUCCAAGGCGGAUGGCUGCUUUUCGAUAUAUUUUCUUUAAAGGCGAGAAAAGGUUCUGUCUUUGGUACAUACAUCUUCACUCCAGGUGAAGGUGGCAGCAGGCAGGGGUGAGAGAGAGGGGUCAUGCACCCCGUGUCCUGGCCAGGGUAACCCAUCCCAGCCCCAGGACCAGCUAGAGAAGGAAGACUCCUGAGACCCAGGUGAAGAAGGAGAGACAGCGGCGGUUCCGGCCUGACCAGGGUCCAGAGAAAGGCUGAGGGGCCCCUAAGGCCACAACAGGAGCAUCUGGGGAGCAGGGACAGAAGCCAUAGGCUGAGAACCAUCACCUGGGGAAGAAAGUGAAGCAGAGGUCAAGGGUCAGCAGAGACAGCAACAGGAGAC
rnacentral:lncRNA from 1 species